CGCUAAAUUUUUAUUUAUUUUUUUACCGCUAAGUUAAACUCGUGAUAGACCUCGUGUAAAAUGGUCAAGCGUUUCUACUCGGCCAAAAUAAUUGUAUACACACUGUAUAACUCAAUAAAAACUGAACGAAACUCGAAAACGUCAAACGUUUAUAAAUGGCUCGAUACUUUGAAAGUUUUGCCUUGUCUAUAAAAGGCUUAUAUUGGUAUUAUGUGAGAAUUGUACAUCUCUUUCAACAGGAUUAUCUGCAAUACACGCGAAUAAAUCGAAAAUG